GUUGUUGUUUACUACGGUACACAUAACCUGCGUUUUAUUUAAUUUUGAUGUGAAACAUUUUUAUUUUAAUUUUUGACAAUAAAAUAUGUGUGAUAGUGAUAACUCAGAAGAUCAAAGUGAUCAACCUUGUGCAAAGAAAGUGAAACUACACUAUGGCAUACGACCAAGUCAUCAUUCCCAACAAUCAUCACAGGGAUCACAAAAUAUUAUUAUUGAAACUGGACGCCACCCUGAUCAGUUAAACUCAAGACAUACUAUCAAUGUUGUGUAAGACUUUAUUAAUCGAAUAGUACCAGACUAUUUUAAUUUUUAUCUUAGAUCUGGCCGCUGGAGUGGCCAUUUACAAAAACAACAACACUUCACAUGUUACUACACUCAACAUGGAUCUAGCAGUUCAAAAUGCUACAGAAGUUCAUGUUUCCCAAAUAUCUAUUGGUGAUAUGUGUGCUUCACAUGUUAAACUAGGAGACGGAAGUGAAUUAAUUAUGAUUGUAGUAUACAUUUCACCUAAUAACAAAAUGGAUCAUAUAAUUUCAUUUUUACAUGAAAGCUGGAGAUUUUAAUGUAAAUUUUGCAAGAGCUGAAUCAAUGCCAUUAAUGACAUUUCUUCAAAAAGAAUUUCAAUUGCAAAUCAACAACAAUCCAAGAGAAUCUACUACCAAAUAUGGAACAACAAUAGAUGCUGUAUUUGUGAGAUAUCUUGAUAAUGUUUCAUCCAAUACUUUUGUAACGUACUUUAGUUAUCAUCGACCAAUCGUCACAGUAAUACCGGCAGAGGAAACAUCGAAUAUAACUAUUACUGAAGUCACAGAUGAAAAUGUUUAAAUUGUGGCCACUUGAUAUUAAUAUCGAAUUUUUAUAUCACAUGUAAAUAAAUGUUUAUUAAAUAAAGUUACCAUUUUCUGUAAGAAAUUCGUAAUACUUCAUUUUUUCAUUAGGCUAUAUUUAAUUCCUGUAAUAAUAUUAUCUUUUAUGCAUAUUACUUGUACACACACGAUGUUUCACAUCUGCCAGGCGUCCCAUGACG